CAACCGAAAACCUUACCUGGCCUUGCAUGUACCAAUUUACAGAGAUGCUUUAGUGCUCGAAGAGAACGGUAACACAGGUGCUGCAUGGCUGUCGUCAGCUCUGUCGGAGAUGUGGGUUAAGCCAGCACGAGCGCAACCCUUGCCAUUAAUGCCAUCAUUUAUUGGGCACUUUAAUGGACUGCGGUGACA
rnacentral:rRNA from 1 species